rnacentral:misc_RNA from 1 species
GUGAAUCAUCGAAUUUUUGAACGCAAAUUGCACUCUCUUCGGAGAGUAUGCGUGUUUGAGGGUGAGCCUAAGAAAAACCGUCAUAGUUGCUGUUACGCGGUAACAUUUGUCGGAAAUUCGGUCAUCUUAAACUUUUGGGUUUAAGGGGCUUAAAAUUUUUGUUUCGAUUCCAAGACCGUUUCUUAGUUUUUAUUUUCUUAUAUGUUUAAGGUAUCUAUCUUUCUGUGAUGUGGACGUUACAUCUGCUCUCG